rnacentral:rRNA from 1 species
AUUCGGACGUCCUNCAGUCGAGCGNACAGAAGGGAGCUUGCUCCCGNAUGUUAGCGGCGGACGGGUGAGNAACACGUGGGUAACCUGCCUGUAAGACUGGGAUAACUCCGGGAAACCGGAGCUAAUACCGGAUAGUUCCUUGAACCGCAUGGUUCAAGGAUGAAAGACGGUUUCGGCUGUCACUUACAGAUGGACCCGCGGCGCAUUAGCUAGUUGGUGAGGUAACGGCUCACCAAGGCGACGAUGCGUAGCCGACCUGAGAGGGUGAUCGGCCACACUGGGACUGAGACACGGCCCAGACUCCUACGGGAGGCAGCAGUAGGGAAUCUUCCGCAAUGGACGAAAGUCUGACGGAGCAACGCCGCGUGAGUGAUGAAGGUUUUCGGAUCGUAAAGCUCUGUUGUUAGGGAAGAACAAGUGCAAGAGUAACUGCUUGCACCUUGACGGUACCUAACCAGAAAGCCACGGCUAACUACGUGCCAGCAGCCGCGGUAAUACGUAGGUGGCAAGCGUUGUCCGGAAUUAUUGGGCGUAAAGGGCUCGCAGGCGGUUUCUUAAGUCUGAUGUGAAAGCCCCCGGCUCAACCGGGGAGGGUCAUUGGAAACUGGGAAACUUGAGUGCAGAAGAGGAGAGUGGAAUUCCACGUGUAGCGGUGAAAUGCGUAGAGAUGUGGAGGAACACCAGUGGCGAAGGCGACUCUCUGGUCUGUAACUGACGCUGAGGAGCGAAAGCGUGGGGAGCGAACAGGAUUAGAUACCCUGGUAGUCCACGCCGUAAACGAUGAGUGCUAAGUGUUAGGGGGUUUCCGCCCCUUAGUGCUGCAGCUAACGCAUUAAGCACUCCGCCUGGGGAGUACGGUCGCAAGACUGAAACUCAAGGAUUGACGGGGCCCGCACAAGCGGUGGAGCAUGUGGUUAAUUCGAAGCNACNCGANACCUUACCAGGU